GCCACACCCACCCAGCCACGCCCAACGCACCUGGGACAGGCCACACCCAGCCCUAAAAGGUGCCUCAGGUGUGUCAAGGGCCCUUCCCCAACUCCCAGAGGUGUCCCAGGUGUGCCGAGCAGGUGGGGACAGGUGGGGACAGGUGAGGCACUGACAGGUGGGGACAGGUGGGGACAGGUGAGGCACUCACAGGUGAGACGUCGUCAUAGUCUUGGCGUUGCGGGACUGGGUGACGUGGCACGCCUUGCGCAGCAGCGACUCCAGGAA